CAGGACGCGUGAGGAUAUUGGUCAUGGACGCAAGUCUGACCAGCCAUGCCGCGUGCAGGAUGACGGUCCUAUGGAUUGUAAACUGCUUUUGUACGAGAAGAAACACUCCGACGUGUCGGAGCUUGACGGUAUCGUAAGAAUAAGGAUCGGCUAACUCCGUGCCAGCAGCCGCGGUAAU
rnacentral:rRNA from 1 species